rnacentral:rRNA from 1 species
UACGGAGGGUGCAAGCGUUAUCCGGAUUCACUGGGUUUAAAGGGUGCGUAGGUGGGUUGGUAAGUCAGUGGUGAAAUCUCCGGGCUUAACCUGGAAACUGCCAUUGAUACUAUCAAUCUUGAAUACCUUGGAGGUGAGCGGAAUAUGUCAUGUAGCGGUGAAAUGCUUAGAUAUGACAUAGAACACCAAUUGCGAAGGCGGCUCACUGGCCCGAUACUGACGCUGAGGUGCGAAAGCGUGGGGAGCGAACAGG